rnacentral:lncRNA from 1 species
UCGGUAACAAAGUGCUCUCAAAAAACUCAUAAUCAUCAUCGUAUAUCACAUAUGCCUCUGGAGUUGCUGUCACUUCUGAAUCCAGUCCUGAGAAUGUAUCUACUUCUGCAUUGCACUCUGGCAGGCCAUCGAACCCUAACAGCAAGUUGCCUUCAUCAUCAUACUGUGCAUAGGUGCCUGGAGGACAGGUUGGGGGUGGUUUCUCAGUGGGAGGUUCAGUUGUAGUUGGUUCAGGAGUGGUAGUUGUAGUAGUUGUUGUGGUGGUUGUAGUAGUUGUUGUUGUAGUAGUUGGGGGUGUUGUUGUAGUUGUCGUUGAGGGAGUGGUUGUUUUCUUAAUCAUUUCAAGACCAAUCAGAGGUUUCCCUCCAAGGCUUAUUAUUGGUUUAUCUUGUGCACUUGCUACAGGUUUACUAAAUCUGCCAUGUCCAAACAAAGGUAUUCCAUCAGGACUCACCAUUGGGGCACCCUUCUCAUCAACAAUCGUACGUCCGUCCCCUCCUAAUUUCACUCGAAGUGGGUUGCCUUGGGAAUCUUGGAGGUAUUUUCCUUCAACAUUUAACACCAGUCCUCGGUCAAGAUCUACAAUCCACUUUGUUCCUUGUGGGCCAUUGAUUACUCUCUGUCCACUUGGUUUUCCAUUAUUACCAGUUAAUAUUUUUCCAUUUCCAUUCUUUGUUGUAAGAUUAGGUCGGCCAUUGUAACCUUGCCUAUAAGGAGGUCUAAC